UUAACUGAAACCAGCAGCUGCUUAGAUAAGAGAACAGAUAAGAUACUUUUUUUAAUCCCACACUGGGGAAAUUCCCUUAGACAGCAGCGCAAAGAAAUUCACACACAUCAGAAUAAGACAAACACACAUUAAAUAGACAGGAAAAAUAUACAAAAAGUAUUAUAAGAAAUAGAAAAAUAGAAUAAAAGUAAUAAUAUUGAUAGUAAUAAUAUGUACACUAUAAACACCCUUAUUAUAAAUAGACAAAAAAAAACAGGUAAAAAAUAUAUAUACAGAUAAGUAGGGUGCGGAUGAAUAGAAAUGGCAUAUAAUAAUAAAUAAAUAAAUAUGCAUAGUGCAGAAAGGUAUUCAAUAGAAAAUGUUGAAGAAAUGUAAAAUACACAGUCUGUUGAGGAGCUAAUGGGCAAAGAGUUCAUUUAAAGUAACUGUGAUGAUGGCUGGUUGGUUAUCCGCCAAUGAAAUCUAUACCAAACUUUAAUCUGGCGUGAUCAACAAACUUUUAAACUUGUAAAAACCAGUGUCUGCUGAUUCAACAAAAUCCUAAUGGGUAAGCUGGAAUAUGCAGUGUAUAUUAUUUGAGAUAACAUUUACUGUGCUUAAAAACAUCCGAUCCUCUGAAGAUGUGACUGAGACUUUCUAACUUGAACCCUUGAUGUGAAAAAGUUCAAAACACAACCAAACUGUAGCUCCACUGUGGCUCUGACGGUUCAGUUUUUGAAUGUAUUUCAUAGAUGUAGCUCCUUCAUGAUGCCCUUUUCAAAACACAGAGAGGGAAACGAAUGCAACCGUGACUAAUAGCGUUCCACAGCGCCAUGUCAAUAGUGUCUGAAUCAAAUGUCAACAAAUGUUUUUGUAUUUUUGGCUCGGCUGGUGGGACAUCAGCUGUGUAGACACGUUUGUCUCAGCUUGUUUGUCUACAUACUGUCAAAUUUCUAACUUUGUAAUGCAAAUCAGCAUCAAAAUAAAGGAGAACACUGCUUGUAAAAUAAAUGCAUGCUGUGAAUAGCACAUGAGUGAUGUUCCCUCACUGGUUGGUCACUGCCAGUUCGUUUUACUGAAUCAAAUCUGUUACAAGAUAACAUACUGUAUGUACCAUCUUCUCCAUGUGGUGUUCAAUGUUAGAGUUUGUAAAUACUUGUGCUGAAAACUACAGCGGAUCAAUGUAGGAAAGCUUGUGUUUCUGUGGACUCAUUUUUCACUCUCAACACAAGAAAUGUAUUAUUAAAUCACUUUGCAGAGAUAAGUAAAGAAGUAUUGCUGUUUUCCCACUGAA